AACUAAUUUACAAGAAAAAGUUAAAGCGAACGUUCGAUUUGUUUUCAAUAUAGAUAAUUUUAUAACGGGUUCUCUCGAGCGUUGCCGAGGCGGCAUGCCAUCGGUCAUGUCAUUCGGCGUUAGACUGCGAGGUAGUUGUUAAUACGUAAUAAACUUUGAACUACGAGAAUAUUGAUUUGCCCAUUUCUUUUGUAAAACGCGUUAAUAAGAUUAAUCUGGAUCCUGAUUCAAUAUUAAUAUAAUCAGCAUAAUAAUCAAUUGGAAAUACACUGGAGAAAUCCCCGUCUUAGGGGACCCUGCUCCGCAUCGCGAAGACCCUACUCCGCAUUGUCUCCACUCUCCACCCGCUUGCCACGCGAAGACCCUGCUCCGCAUCGCGAAGACCCUACUCCGCAUUGUCUCCACUCUCCACCCGCUUGCCACGCGAAGACCCUGCUCCGCAUUGUCUCCACCCGCUUGUCACGCGAAGACCCUCGCCUUGUUCCACGGUUGCCAGGGGAGUAGUCCAUCAAUCCCUUGAGUGGCAGUAUCAUUUUAUUUAAGGCCAUUAUACCACGUCCCUUACAAA